UAAUUACAUCUUGGAGAAAGGGACAUGCCAACAGACGAAGACACUGUCCCAUUUUGUCUCACAGAGUAAACAUGCUUUAAUUGUAACUUCAUCAUGUAGUCAGUGUAGAACAUUGCUGUGUGCCCCUCUGAAUGGGCUGAUUCUUCUACCUGUUCAGAUUUGUCCCUCCCCUUCUGCCGGGGCGUGCAAUCAGGAUAGAAAGCCACAUAAAGUUUCCACUAAUUAGGCCACCUCUGCCGUGAUGUCACCAGAACAACAGCAGAAGCAGCAGCAGCAGUUGAGAGAGAGAAAGAAAGAGUGAGAGAGGAGGAGAGAGAAAGAGAGAAGAGCAUCCACUGCUGCUGUUCCCAGGCAGAGCAUCACCUUUUUCCUUGAUUCUAAACUAAAGAAGACACUGAAAGCACUAAAGUUGACUUUGCAAUGACAAGAAUGGGUUCAAGCCCCUGGUCAGGAGGUGUCCUCCUUUUUUUAAUACUGCUAAUAAGUUUGCCCUUGAUUGUGAUGGGACAGUCUACUAUCUCCUCCGAUUCAACAACUAAUAUGGACGACACAGCAACAACUGCCAUAACAACAAUGAUCAGCAUAAACAGCUCUACAAUUUUCCCAGUUCCAGGUUCAAAUAACACGAACAUGUCAAUGAUCUACUGCCGAGUUUUCACCUGUAAUGUCUCCCAAUGCUACAACACAUAUCUGAAUACCAAUGCCACCAUGUGUGCAAGUCCUGGCAUGUUUUGUGAGUUGAGGAGAGAUGACCCCAUGAGAUAUUCAGUGAACUGUGUUCCAGUCUGUCGCACUUCCUGCAACGGUUCUCAGAUCAACUGCUCAGUCAGCUGCUGUGACUCUGAUAUUUGCCUCAAUUCCACUAUCGCCAACCUGACCAACCUCAUGCCCCCAAUGAUUCCAACAACAGCUCCCACAACUGCAAACACGACUACUACUACCACCACAUCUCCAACCACCACCACAGCUGCAAACAAUGGCAAGAAGUGUAAUAAGGUUUCCUGUACUGGAGACAUCUGCUAUCAAUCCAAUUUAGCUACGAUGCUGUGCCCUCCUACUCAGCACUACUGUAUGCUAAAAAAGGCAACCAGUGGGACAGUAAUGACCUGGACAGCAGGCUGCAGUGAGGACUGCAGAAAGGAGACUGCUUGUUCAGCCACUGUUACUACCUGCUUCCUAGAGUGCUGUAAUGCCACCACCACAGCCUCCUGCCUCAAGAUGACCGGUGUACUGAACAUGCCCAGUUCUGCCACCAGAGGGCUGUUCUCUCCCAUGUUGCUGAUCAUCUCCUCACUGUUGUUUUGGUUGCUAAGCAGGGUUACAUCAGCAUAACAGGCCUUGUGAACCAAGUGUGCCUCAGCAUCAGGCGUAGAUCACUGGAGGGAGACACUCAUAGAUUUCAUGAAAAGAUGUGUGCAGACGUGUGUGUGGUCGUGCAUGUGUGUGUACUGAAAAAACGUUAUGCAUUAAAUACACUUUCCAAUGUGUUGAUUUUCACAUGAAUAUCAUCUAUAACAUCAGCACAAUUGUGAGUAAACCAACAGAAAAAAAUUGUGUUUAUACUUUGUGUUCAUGUGAAAUAAUCAAAUAAAUAAGAUGCAUUCCUUAUUUCA
ensembl:lncRNA